GACCUAAUAGCACAAUUGGAUAGUGUGCCUGGUAUAUAUGGAUUGGACAGGAAGAUUAAAGCAGGAGAUCCCUGUUCGACUCGGGGUCAAGUUA